GUUCAAAACUGAAGGUGUCCUACUAAAGCAUGUCUCCAAAAAUGCCGAAGGACAACACAAAAUGACAUUUCUUUAUGAUUUUGUAGCGUGUACAACACUAAAUAUCUGGCUACCCGGCGGACUGUCCAUCCAUCCGAAUAGAAUCAUUUCCGAUGGGAAGGUUUAUUUCGUCCGUAACAGAGGGGGAAGAAUAUUAUCGACGCACACCGUCUACAGCUAGCUAUCCGGAGACGAGCUAGCUAACACACUAGCUAACAAAAAACUCUGCUUUUCAACUUUUAACGUCAUGGGAGAAAAACCGUUGAAGAUCCUCGCAUGUGGUGACGUGGAAGGAAACAUUAAUGCUGUGUUUAACCGCGUCCGAACCGUCCAGAAGAAGAGCGGCCAGUUUGAUCUGUUGCUCUGUGUAGGAAACUUCUUCGGUUCCUCUCCAGAAGCUCAGGCUGAAUGGCAGGAG